rnacentral:lncRNA from 10 species
ACUAAGAGGAACUGGACACCAGGAGCCUCAUACCAGGACUGCCCAGCCGAGCCACUCGAUUCCUGACCCACAUGGCCCUUGAGAUGACAAGUGAUUGCUGCUUAAAGUCACUGAGUUCUGGAAUAAUUUACAUCAUGGCAAUAGGAGCAGUUCACCCAUCUCAGUUAAUCAAGCUCCGCGUCUUCUGCAGACUAAUCAAACCACUCAUGGAACCAAAGAAUGAGGAAAAGGCAGAUGGUAUCCCAGAAAGGUGUCUUCUCCAACAGCCAGAUACUUUUCAUCAGAACAGAGGCUGGUGUGCCGCUGGCUCUGGGCUCCUCCACACCCACAGGGCAGCACCACUGUCUCCAGUGCACACUGCACAGAAGCAGCUCUGGGUGCUUUGGUCAAUAACCCAUCUUCGUGGCUCGUGGAUAUUUCUUGUUAGUCUUAGGCUUCCAUCGUGACCUUUCUGAGUGCCCCUCAAUCUCAUUAACUCCCCUUUCAAGGCUCUGUCCCCAGAAAACAAGCUUCAGGUUGUGACCCUGUUUCCUCACAUUCAUUUCUGAUAC